CUCACGACCUCUGAGGAGGCUGGAACGGAUCUAAACCCUUCAGCAGGCGUCGAGGUCGAGCUCGACCCACCAUGGCUAGAUGACCGAGUUGAUUUGGUGCUGCGAGAGCUCGGCUUGGAAGUUCAAGAAGAGGCUUUGACGGGAGGUCGGCUGAUCUUCUUGGAGGAAGCGGCCUGAGCCAGCUCUGUAGCAAUCUCAGUUACAGAACGCCCAUCCCCAAAGGCGUCAAAAAUUGCAUGCAUGUUCUCCCGAGACAGGUCAAAAUUCUUGGGGAAUUUGAUGCCAUCCAUUCUAACCUCAGACGCUGCAAGAAACAAGAAGUUAUAAAGAGUCAGCAUACUUCCUGAUAUCAUGAGCAAAGAAGAAACAGAAUAGCCGGACAAAGCACUAUACCCGUGUCCCGGAUAUCCCUAAGGUUGGACGCAAACAUACACUUCUCGACAUCAUACUUCCUCUCAACGGAAGUCAGUCGAAGCAACCCGACCUGCUCAAUAAAACUCAAUUCGGGCAGAUCGUUGCAGCCCGGAAAGAUCUCCCCCCACCUUAGGUCCACCUCCCAUGAUCGGCAGGACCCUAAUUUCAACUCCGCCACAAGGAAAUUCUCUACCCAUCCCUUUAUAGAAUCCUUGUAGCCCGUAAGAAGAGACAGCCCAUUACGG
rnacentral:lncRNA from 1 species